rnacentral:lncRNA from 1 species
AUUUUCUUCUGAUGUAAAGCAAAAGGUAAAAAACCCUCUAUGUGUUUUGCUAUGCUACCGUCCUUCUUUGUCUGACGAUUUUGCUAGGCCUUCGCAGAUCGACACUGUCAUGACCCGGAACCAUCCUUGAGUCCGUGACAACCAUCGCGAUGUCCCGAUAGGCACUUAUCCCCCGAAUACCAUAUGAGACCUCGCAAGGCUUUCGUAUCAGUUUCUUAUCUCCCAUGUGGUUAAUCGUCGCCAAAUGUUGUAUUUUAGAGACUUUUAAGCCUUUUUUCUAUUUAAAAUAGUGAAAAAAUAAAUUUCACUUAAUAGGGGCAUUUUGAUCAUUUUUCAUCAAAAAUUUCAAAUUCGACCAAAAUGUAGUACUUAAGCGAGAAAUGCAUAUUUCGAAAUCAAAAUUAAAUUUGAAUGUCUAAAACGUGAUUUAAAAUGGAAUUAUAACCAGUUAAAUAAAAUAAAAAUAUUCGACAAAAUAUUCUGUUUUCUUACAAAUUAAUAUUUAUAGAGUAUUCUGAAAAUGAUUUUUAUUAGCGUAAAAGUUAAAUAUAUUUAUACAAACUAUAAUACGGAAAAACAAAGUAUGAAAUUUAAUUUACAAUGCUACGUGGGCCCACAAAUGAACAAAAGUAGUAAAGACAGUAAACUUACAGUUUUUGAUGUAGUAUGGCCAACUAUAAUUCUCGACAAUGUCUGCUAUCUACAGGCUAACCCG